rnacentral:lncRNA from 1 species
UAAACAGGACUUCUUUACUCUAUCCGGACUCCUGCUCUAUACUGCACCUGCAAGCCUGGGGGUAAAGGGAGAGGGGUGAGCUAAAAGCCCAGUGAGUAGGACUAUAAAACAUAUUAACACUAUGCUCUAUGAAAUGCAUCAUAACACAGACAAUUCACAUAAGGGUUGGGCGAACUUGUCACCAAUUAGUCCAAGCUAACUCUGUGCCAGGCCGUAGCAUGGGG